AAUACUGUCAUUUGAGGCUUAUAAAAUGAAGGCUUAUGGGUGAUUUUGUUGUCAUUAGGAGCACCAAGAGCAAGGUCCUAAGCUGCUUGUUCCAGAAGCUGUAGCAGCCCCAACCCCCGCAGGUGGUCAGUUAGGAAUUUUAAACCACAAGUGGAAUGCUUUUUGUGAGUGUGGGACACCUUGAUACAAACCUAUAUUAUCAAUUUUGUACUCAAAAGCCAAAAUAUAGCAAACUAUUUUCAAAUGAUAACUAAAAAUGGGCAUCUUUGAUAAUUCACCUCUUUUUAUAGAAUCAGCUAUAUUGUCUUUAAUUUUUCAUCUUGAACAUUAUUGGGGAUGUUGUGGGCUCCUGGGUGUGAGUGGGCAGGAAACUGUGGAGCGCCUCCUGUUGGAUGGGCCACUUCCUAGGCAUCUGUGCAUUCCACACAGUCCCAGGUCAUCCUGCAGAUGAGAGCUCUCCUCCCCAUAAGAAAGAGGACUAAAGGAAGCUCAUGUUACCAACAAGCCUUGCCUAGAAAUUGGUAUCAAAUAUUUUAUAUAAAGAAAUGCUUGUGUGUAUAUGCCAUAUUUAUUAAUAAUUGUAACUAAAGUCACUGACCUAUAGACAGUACCAGGUUAAAUAUUGGGAUAUGUAUGGGCAAUCAGAAAUGUUACUUUAAAUGCCAUCUGCCUAUUUUGAGGCCAUGUUUGGCACUUUUUAGACUAGGGUAAGUCUGAUAAUACCUGGUGGGGUUUUGUCUUUUUUUUUUUUUUUUGUCUGAACUCUCAAAGUUUGUUACUGGAAAUUAUUUGCAUGGUAGGAGAGAUUGAAUUAUUUAUUUUUUAUAUGUAGAAAAAUCUCUCUAACCAACAAAUAGCUCAUUGUUACUGAUUUGUUUGUUUUCCUAACUUAUUCUCCUGGACAGAACGGUAGCAAAGUUUUGUUCAGCUGAAUAAAUGCACUCAGCUAAUAAACCAAAAUUUAUUCUUUC
rnacentral:lncRNA from 1 species